rnacentral:lncRNA from 1 species
AUUCAAAGCCCAGCUGCAUAUUGCAUAACACCUUGAAUUAGAAAAUCCACGACCCACAAAACGCUUACCUACUUUGUGCGGUUUAAAUAAAGCAGAGUGCUACUCCUCUUUAAAGAACUGCUUUACAGUUAUCUUCCUGUCAGAAUUCCAAUUAUUCUAUGACUCAGUGGGAAGUGAGCAGCGUCUCUGCCUGGCCGCCCAUCCUCUGGGAUGUGAGGAGCGCCUCUGCCCGGCCGCCCCGUCUGGGAGGAAGUGAGGAGCGCCUCUGCCCGGCUGCCCCGAAUGGGAAGUGAGGAGCACCUCUGCCUGGCCACCCCCUCUGGGAAGUGAGGAGCGCCUCUGCCCAGCUGCCCCAUCUGGGAGGAAGUGAGGAGUGCCUCUGCCCAGUUGCCCCGAAUGGGAAGUGAGGAGCGCCUCUGCCCGGCUGCCCAGUCUGGGAAGUGAGGAGUGCCUCUGCCCGGACACCCCAUCUGGGAGGUGAGGAGCGCCUCUGCCCGGCUGCCACCCCAUCUGGGAGGUGAGGGGCGUCUCUGCCCAGCCGCCCCGCCUGGGAAGUGGGCGCCUCUGUCCGGCCGCCCCGUCUGGGAGGUGAGGGGCGUCUCUGCCUGGCUGCCCCGUCUGGGAGGUGAGGGGUGCCUCUGCCCAGCUACCAGCCUGGGAAGUGAGGAGCGCCUCUGCCCAGCUGCCCUUUGUCUGGGAGGUGGGCAGCACCUCUGCCUGGCCGCCCCAUCUGGGAAGUGGGCACCUCUGCCUGGCCGCCCUGUCUGGGAGGUGAGGGGCGUCUCUGCCCGGCCGCCCCAUCUGGGAGGUAAGGAGUGCCUCUGCCCGGCCGCCCCGUCUGGGAAGUGGGCGCCUCUGCCCAGCCACCCCGUCUGGGAGGUGAGGGGCGUCCCUGCCCAGCCGCCCCGCCUGGGAAGUGAGGAGUGCCUCUGCCCAGCCACCCUUCAUCUGGGAGGUGGGGAGCGCCUCUGCCCGGCCGCCCCGUCUGGGAGGUGAGGGGCGUCUCUGCCUGGCCGCCCCGUCUGGGAGGUGAGGGGCGCCUCUGCCCGGCCACCCCACCUGGGAAGUGAGGAGCGCCUCUGCCCAGCCGCCCUUCAUCUGGGAGGUGGGGAGUGCCUCUGCCCGGCCGCCCCAUUGGGGAAGUGGGCGCCUCUGCCCAGCCACCCCGUCUGGGAGGUGAGAGGUGUCUCUGCCUGGCUGCCCCGUCUGGGAUGUGGGGAGCGCCUCUGCCCGGCCGCCCCGUCUGGGAGGUGGGGAGUGCCUCUGCCCGGCCGCCCAUCGUCUGGGAGGUGAGGAGCGCCUCUGCCCGGCUGCCCCGUCUGGGAUGUGGGGAGCACCUCUGCCCGGCCGCCCCUUGUGGGAUGUGAGGCGCACCUCUGCCCGGCCGCCCCAUCUGGGAAGUGGGGGGCACCUCUGCCUGGCCGCUCUUCGUCUGGGAGGUGGGGAGCGCCUCUGCCCGGCUGCUCUUCGUCUGGGAGGUGGGGAGCGCCUCUGCCCGGCUGCCCAUCGUCUGGGAUGUGAGGAGCGCCUCUGCCCGGCCGCCAACCCAUCUGGGAAGUGAGGAGCGCCUCUGCCCAGCCGCCCCAUCUGGGAAGUGAGGAGCGCCUCUGCCCGGCUGCCCUGUCUGGGAAGUGAGGAGCGCCUCUGCCAGGCCGCCCCAUCUGGGAAGUGUACCCAACAGCUCCUAAGAGACAGCGACCAUCGAGAACGGGCCAUGAUGACGAUGGCGGUUUUGUUGAAAAGAAAAGGGGGAAAUGUGGGGAAAAGAAAGAGAGAUCAGAUUGUUACUGUGUCUGUGUAGAAAGAAGUAGACAUAGGAGACUCCAUUUUGUUCUGUACUAAGAAAAAUUCUUCUGCCUUGGGAUGCUGUUAAUCUAUAACCUUACCCCCAACCCCCUGCUCUCUGAAACAUGUGCUGUGUCAACUCAGGGUUAAAUGGAUUAAGGGCGGUGCAAGAUGUGCUUUGUUAAACAGAUGCUUGAAGACAGCAUGCUCGUUAAGAGUCAUCAUCACUCCCUAAUCUCAAGUACCCAGGGACACAAACAGGGCCAAAGGCCGCAGGGACCUCUGCCUAGGAAAACCAGAGACCUUUGUUCUCGUGUUUAUCUGCUGACCUUCUCUCCACUAUUAUCCUAUGACCCUGCCACAUCCCCCUCUCUGAGAAACACCCAAGAAUGAUCAAUAAAUGCUAAAAAAAUAAUAA